rnacentral:lncRNA from 1 species
CAUAAGGCGCCGCGCUACCGCGGCGCUUAAAACACGAAAUACAGCUUCCCGCAGCGCUUAAUUAUCCCGCGCGGUGCCUCAAUUAUUAGCGCAGCGUCUUAAAUCAGUAAGCGAUUUCAUCCCUGUGAGAUACCUCAGGUAAAUAUCGAUCGGGGAAGUUUAUGAAUACACAGUGUAGCUAGCUGUUUACCAUGUACUGAUAAGGGUUUAAAGACGACACGUGUUGAUGAAAGUCUGUGUUUUCACAAGUUUGCGGUUAAUUGGAGCAGCAGUGAUUGGAUUAUAAUUAGUUAAAGAUUAUAAUGAGUCUCUGCAACGAAAUGGGAUAACAGUUGGUGACGGAAUGCAUGGGCUCUUUCAUCACUCUUCUCCCUUGAAGAAGACCGGGCGGUUAUUGAAUGGGCACAGGCGAAAGCCACCCUUACCACAGAUGAACACUUUGCGCACCAUGGAGUGGAUUGUUGGUAAUCUGUCCGAGUCUCACCCAAACCUGAGCAAAGUCGCUACAGUGGGACUGCUUCUACCAACCUCCACAGCUGAUUGUGAGAGAGGUUUCAGCAGUUGAAUGUGUAAAGACCACCGACCAUUCACCGGUGAGCAUGAAAGUGCUUAAUGCCUUACUCCUGGUGUCCAUGCAGGGACAAAAAUUGAAUGACUUUAAUUUCAGUGGUGCAGUAAAGGAAUGGCACAGAGCCAAAGACAGACACUUACCGGUAUAUGAAAACA